rnacentral:tRNA from 1 species
GGGCUUGUAGCUCAGUUGGUUAGAGCGCGUCACUGAUAAUGACGAGGUCCCAGGUUCAAGUCCUGGCAAGCCCACCA